UCUGAAAAAAUAUAGAAGGUCCAGCCUGCCCAGUGACAAAGUUAAACGGCCGCGGUACCCUAACCGUGCGAAGGUAGCGCAAUCACUUGUUCUUUAAAUGAGGACUAGUAUGAACGGCAUCACGAGGAUUAUACUGUCUCCCCCCUUUAAUCAGUGAAACUGAUCCCCCCGUGAAGAAGCGGGAAUAAACCUAUAAGACGAGAAGACCCUAUGGAGCUUUAAACUAACACCACCUGUCUAUAAACACUUCAUAAUAAACAGACAAACCUACGUGCUAGUUUUUGGUUGGGGUGACCGCGGAGCAAAAUAAAACCUCCACGAUGAAAAGACUUUCCCUCUUAAUCCAAGAGCAACAUCUCAAAGAAUUGGUAAACCAACACAACUGAUCCAAAUAAUACUUUGAUCAACGAAC
rnacentral:rRNA from 1 species